UACGUAGGGUGCAAGCGUUGUCCGGAAUUAUUGGGCGUAAAGAGCUCGUAGGCGGUUUGUCGCGUCUGCUGUGAAAACUCGGGGUCAUACCCCGGGCCUGCAGUGGGUACGGGCAGACUAGAGUGCGGUAGGGGAGACUGGAAUUCCUGGUGUAGCGGUGAAAUUCGUAGAUAUCGGGAGGAACACCAGUGGCGAAGGCGGCGAUCUGGGAAGAUACUGACGCUGAGGUGCGAAAGCGUGGGGAGCAAACAGG
rnacentral:rRNA from 1 species